rnacentral:rRNA from 1 species
UACGUAGGGCGCAAGCGUUAUCCGGAAUUACUGGGCGUAAAGCGUGCGCAGGCGGCUUUGCAAGACAGAUGUGAAAUCCCCGGGCUUAACCUGGGAACUGCAUUUGUGACUGCAUGGCUAGAGUGCGGCAGAGGGGGAUGGAAUUCCGCGUGUAGCAGUGAAAUGCGUAGAGAUGCGGAGGAACACCGAUGGCGAAGGCAGCCCCCUGGGCUGACACUGACGCUCAGGCACGAAAGCGUGGGGAGCAAACAGG